UCAUCUAUGAAAAACAAUACCAGAAUUGCGCAAAUGAUGUCUACGUUAUUCACAUGUUAUUAUUGUCUCGAUUCUGGUUCAGCGUAUCAUUUAACAAAGAUUACAUAAUUUUUGUAGGUAUGGUAGAACUUCAUGAAAAACACUCUGCAGUCAAUUUAACCAAAAAGAUUGAAGAAGUUUGUGAACAAUUUGGCAUUCAAUCUUGGCAAAUAUAUAGUGUUACUGUGGAUAACGCAAGGAAUGUAGUGCCAACGGGACAGUUACUAAAAGAAUUGCAGAAAGAAGAUUUAACUCAUUUUCUUGACGAAUCAUUGAAACAAAUCGAAGAUAAUUCUGAAGAUGAUGACGAUGAGAAUGAAGCAGAUAAUAUUAAAGCAUUAGCUGAUCGCCUCAGAUUUCACGAGCUUGAGUGCAUUAGAUGCGGUACUCACACUUUUAACCUGGUUGUAACAGACAACAUUAUUGGCUCUCAAAAUUAGGAAACUGCUGCAACUUUAUUUAAAAUAGUUGAAGUAGUGAAAGCAUACCGGCUUUCUGAAUUCAAACAGGCAUUCGAAAUACAUCAACAAAAAUAUCCUCCGAUUCCCAAUGUAACCAGAAGGGGAACGUACUAUGUACUAAUGAAAGUAUUAAAAGAUGGACAUCAGUUUUUCGAAAAGAUGAGUCGAAAUCAUUCUAAGCUAGACAUGUCAACACAUUGGGAUUUCAUAAAUGAAUUUAAUGAAGCAUUUUCAUCUCUUCAUGCGGCUACAGUUCGGGUUCAAAGCCUUGGUUGCACGCUAAGCCAAUUUUAUCUAGAAAAAACGGCAAUCUACCAUUUUCAACAAUGCAGCCUAUUAGGCCGCGCUAUAUAUGGAUCCAAGGUUCGUUUACAAUGGAUCAACUAUAUUUACAGCCAACGAAAAGGAGUCGAUAAUUCAAUAUUUGAUUGGAGUGUGGAACAAAUUCGAUCUUCGUUGUAAUACAUGUGAUAUGAAUGUGAAUAAUCCUCAUAAAAAAUAACGUUGUUAUACCGAAGAAUUUAACAUUGAUACGUAUAUAUCUACACUCUUAGAAAAACUGAAAUUUACGCUUGCGUAAACUCAAGUAUGCCGUAAUUUCUUCAGAGAAGACACAAUAUUACAUCUGCUAACAUGUAGAAAUAAACUUUGCGUCUGUAUCGAUGUAAGCUUCAGCUAAAUUAACUGUGAAGUUAAUGAUAUGACUUAUUUUCACAUGAUUUAAAUCGUGAAAGUAAGUGAAUCGCGACGCUCCUUUUAUGUGCAUCUAGUAAGAUGUAAACUUUUCUAAGUGUGUAGUAAUUUUGGGGAAGGAAACGAAGUAACAAAUACUUCUGAAAACGAUAUUGAAAUUUUAAUACGGAAUAUACAGUUUCAACAACGCCAAUCCGCUUCUGAUCUAAACUUCAAAGUCAUUGACUAUUAUUUCAAGCUAAAAGUGAUGGAUUCUUGUCUUUGGGAUAUUGCAAAAAUAGUAUAUUCGGCUGCGUUGACCCAAGUGUUCAGUAGAAAGAGACAAUUCACAUUUCUCGAACGUUUUUACCCCACAUCGCCACACUAUUGGGGAAGAGACAUUGCAAAACAUCAUGCAGAUAAAGCUCAAUGAAGAGUUGAUUUCGAUCGGUCUAUGUAAUGCAUU